GACGAACGCUGGCGGCGUGCUUAACACAUGCAAGUCGAACGGAAAGGCCCUGCUUUUGUGGGGUGCUCGAGCGGCGAACGGGUGAGUAACACGUGAGUAACCUGCCCUUGACUUUGGGAUAACUUCAGGAAACUGGGGCUAAUACCGGAUAGGAGCUCCUGCUGCAUGGUGGGGGUUGGAAAGUUUCGGCGGUUGGGGAUGGACUCGCGGCUUAUCAGCUUGUUGGUGGGGUAGUGGCUUACCAAGGCUUUGACGGGUAGCCGGCCUGAGAGGGUGACCGGCCACAUUGGGACUGAGAUACGGACCAGACUCCUACGGGAGGCAGCAGUGGGGAAUAUUGCACAGUGGGCGGAAGCCUGAUGCAGCAACGCCGCGUGCGGGAUGACGGCCUUCGGGUUGUAAACCGCUUUCGCCUGUGACGAAGCGUGAGUGACGGUAAUGGGUAAAGAAGCACCGGCUAACUACGUG
rnacentral:rRNA from 1 species